AACCCUGACCGAGCAACGCCGCGUGAGUGAAGAAGGUUUUCGGUAUCGUAAAGCUCUGUUGUAAGUCAAGAACGGGUGUGGGAGUGGAAAGUUCACACUGUGACGGUAGCUUACCAGAAAGGGACGGCUAACUACGUGCCAGCAGCCGCGGUAAUACGUAGGUCCCGAGCGUUGUCCGGAUUUAUUGGGCGUAAAGCGAGCGCAGGCGUUGCUCGGUCAGGGUU
rnacentral:rRNA from 1 species